rnacentral:rRNA from 1 species
UACGGAGGGUGCAAGCGUUAUCCGGAUUCACUGGGUUUAAAGGGUGCGUAGGAGGGCAGGUAAGUCAGUGGUGAAAUCCUAGAGCUUAACUCUAGAACUGCCGUUGAUACUAUCUGUCUUGAAUAUUGUGGAGGUGAGCGGAAUAUGUCAUGUAGCGGUGAAAUGCUUAGAUAUGACAUAGAACACCAAUGGCGAAGGCAGCUCGCUACACAUAUAUUGACUCUGAGGCACGAAAGCGUGGGGAUCAAACAGG